rnacentral:rRNA from 1 species
GACGAACGCUGGCGACGUGCUUAACACAUGCAAGUCGAACGGAAAGGCCUUUUCGGAGGUACUCGAGUGGCGCACGGGUGAGUAACACGUGGGUGAUCUGCCCUGCACUCUGGGAUAAGCCUGGGAAACUGGGUCUAAUACCGGAUAGGACCGCACUUUAGUGUGUGUGGUGGAAAGUUUUUUCGGUGUAGGAUGAGCCCGCGGCCUAUCAGCUUGUUGGUGGGGUAAUGGCCUACCAAGGCGGCGACGGGUAGCCGGACUGAGAGGUUGGUCGGCCACACUGGGACUGAGAUACGGCCCAGACUCCUACGGGAGGCAGCAGUGGGGAAUAUUGCACAAUGGGCGCAAGCCUGAUGCAGCGACGCCGCGUGGGGGAUGACGGCCUUCGGGUUGUAAACUCCUUUCGCCAGGGACGAAGCGUUUUGUGACGGUACCUGGAGAAGAAGCACCGGCUAACUACGUG